AUGAAUUACCUUAAAAUAACGACAAGGAAAACCCAGCAGAGCACAGACUCCAUGGUCGUUUGUCUGUGUUGUGUCCUGAGCACUGAAUGGGGCCACACAGGACAGUCUCAGGGACCCCCCAGGCUUCACCAGGUCUCCCCCAGACUCCACCAGCUGUACAUCACUCUGGACACCUGCAGACACAAGACAUCCUGGUCAGGAAACUGUCCCACGUCCCCUGUUUCUCACUCACCUCCACUCACAGCCUCAAGCUCCAUUGCUCUCCAUGAGUUACCUUUUAAAAUAGCGACAAGGAAAACCCAGCUGAGAGUCCAUUGUGGUAUGUCCGUGUUCUGUCCUGGUCUCUGAAUGGUGUCAACUGGAGAUCCUGGGGCCUGGGCUGCUCUCCCAGCUGCAGGGUCAUUAGAGUGAGGGCCCUAUUUUCAUUUCCUCUAACUAUAGAGUCAACCCCAGACUUAGACUCAUUUUUUACAAGUUAUAUACAAGCAUUACUUCACAAUCCUAGAUCACUUUCUUUACGUGGGACAGUGGAUUUUUGAUGUUCUAACCCAUCAACAUAUUUAUCUUUACAUUUCCCUGUGCCUUUUGAAAUUCUUUCAUCAAUAUAGGUCAUUUUUUAAAGAUUUACUUAUUUAUUUGUGAUAGAUGAGAGAGAGAGAGAGAGAGAGAGAGAGAGAGAGAGAGAGAGAGAGAAAGGCAGAGACACAGGAGGAGGGAGAAGCAGGUUCCAUGCCAGGAGCCUGAUGUGGGACUCGAUCCUGGGACUCCAGGAUCGUGCCCUGGGCCAAAGGCAGGCGCUAAACCACUGAGCCACGCAGGGAUCCCCAAUAUAGGUUAUUUUUAAACAGGAUUUUCUCUCCGUAAUGAAGUUUAAUCAUAAAUAUUUAUUUUUGAUACCAGUGUAAAGUGGAUUAUUUUGCAAAUUUUAUACAGAAAAAUUUGUUGUUACUGUGUAGAAAUUAACUUUAUUGUCUAUGUUUAUUUGAUAUCAUGUAUUUUCCCUAAGCUCAUUACUUACUUCUAAGUGUUUUUCUCCAAGGAUUUUCCUCGUUUACUUUGUAUAUGCAAACACAUUGUUUUUCUUCUUGUUGACUGAUUUUAAUAUCUUUUAUUUUAUUAUUGCCUAAUUUCUAUGGUACUCUUCAAUGGCAUAGACGUUUUCCCUCUUCUCUAUCUGAUUCUUCGUUUGAAUAUUUUGUUUGAAUAUAGCAGAUCUAGGAGAGCAGAUGAAUUUCAACUUCAUGUGGAUGAGCUCACUAAUCUAUGGUGUGAUGUAGGAAUUCAGGACAGGACAGGAAGUCUGUUCACAACUUCUGCCCAAUUCUGAUUGGAGAUACUGGUGGCUGUUGCAUUUGAUAAUUCAGUGUAGAUUUGAUUUGAGCCUUUAAUCUGAUGAGACAUUUCCAAAAAUCUUCUCUCAUUCUGUAUGUUGCCUUUUAAUUACACUGAGUGAUUCCUUUGCUGUGAAAAUGUUCUUUCCUUGAUGAAGUUCCCAUAGUUCAUUUUCCUUUUCUUUCCCUUGCCUCUGCAGAUACAUCUAGAAGUGGUUGCAGCUGAUGUAGAAAAGGUGCUGCCUGUGUUCUCCUGAGGAUUCUGAUGGUUUGCUGACUCACAUUUAGAUCUUUCAUCAACUUUCAGUCCAUUGUUGUGAAUGAAGUAAGAAAAGUGCCCCCUUUCAUUCUUCUGCUGUGGG
rnacentral:lncRNA from 1 species